rnacentral:other from 2 species
GGUUGCCUGGAAUAUGCGUUAACUGAAUAUGUCCAACCUACUUUUAUAACCGGGGAAUUUGAUGUUAUGCAGCUGCCGAGCCACCCUGAGUGGAUGGCAAAAACAUAACUAGGAUGCCCACCUGCGAGCAGCGGGUUUGGACAUAUAAAGACAACGGUAUUAUGGGCUAACA